ACAGAUCUGACUCUGCCGCCGCCGGAUCGCACGCCAGAUCCACCAGUACGCCCAGACCGCGGCCUCGAUCCCACCAGAAUGAUUAUUAUCUCUCUCCUCCCACCAGCGGCCUCGACCUGGGAUCGCCAGGGACGCCGCCGCCGCCGCCACGGAUCCCACGGACGCCGCCUCCGCGGAUCCCACGGCGCCACCUCGCCGCCACCUCGCCACCGCUGGUCGCCAUGGCGCGGCGUCACCCCGCCGCCACCUCGGCCAAGCGCCGCGCCGCCCCUCCGAACCCUAGCCCGCCCCCUCCGCCCGCCGACGGAUCGCUUCCGCUCCUCCACGCGGCGAGCUGCGGCGACCUGCGCCUCUUCAAGAGGCUGGUGAGAGAUCUGGAUCAGGGCAGGGGCCGUCCCAGGGAGGUGGUGGAGGCGGCCAAGGACCAAGGUCUCGUGGCGCUGCACUUCGCUGCCGGGAAGGGAAGGCCACGGGUGUGCAGGUACCUGGUCGAUGAGCUAGGGGUCGAUGUGGACGCCGUCGACAAUGGAGAAUUGGGCUAUAGGAAACUGUAUGUUGACCAGCACCAGUUUAUUUUUCAAAAUAAACCGGGGAUUCCGCCAUGCCCCGCGUCAAGUCCGGCUCUAGCGGCUGCUUGUUCUACCGGAGGAAGCACUCAUGGCGCUGCGAUGAGUUAGUGAGCAGGAGCUCCGUGCAUCUGGUGAGGGCCUUCUUCAUCAUCUCCCAUCAAUUGCUAUCAGUUGCCACUUGCCAGUCAAAAUCGGCCUGCAGACGUUGUUUCUUUGUGCGCAUUGGCUGGACUUUGAUGACGGUACACCACCAGAAGAUGCUUGGAGAAGAAAAUUAAGGGUCCCGAUAACUGCCACACGUGUGGUGUAUCGGGUAGUUGUGCCACACGCCUCAUGUGGCAUGGACAUCAACCAGCCCACACACCUACGUGUGGGCAAAACAACUAAUGCCCACACACAUCUUUUUUUUCCUCCCGAACCCUCUCACACGCCUGCGUGUGGGCAAAGUUGAUAACGCCCACAUGCCCGUAUGUCAGGCCUCGUACCCUCCUGGUCCUGCACGCGAUGCGUGACGCCCACCACGCGCCCACAGUUGCCAUGGUCCAGACCCUCAUCCAUGUUCGUUUAGCUGCAGUUGCCAUGUCGCUGAGCUACGGUUGUCAUGUCGGACAACUGCAGUUGCCAUGGUUGCUCAACUGCAGUUGCCAUGUAUGGUCUGAUCUAGUGUAGUUGCCAUGAUUUCAUAACUUUAGGAGUUGCCACAUACUAACACUAGACAGUUGAGAGAGUUGCCAUGUGCUCACAAGCAUGCUAGGGCAGUUGCCAUGUAAAAAGGAAGAGUUGCCAUCUGCUAACGUGCACGUUAGGGCAGUUGCCAUGUACGUGCACGUUGGGGCAGUUGUCAUGUAGCAUACAAAAACACAUGGCAACUCGGUAAAAGAGAGUUGCCAUCUGCUUACGUGCACACUAGGCAGUUGCUGUGUACCCUGCAAAAACACAUGGCAACUCGGGUAAAAAAAAGAGUUGCCACCUGCUUAUAAAGCACACUAGGGGCAGUUGCCAUGUGCGCUGCAAAAACACAUGGCAACUAGCAGCUGGGGUGUGGGAGAGGAGACGGGCGUGUGGGCGAGAUGGCAAAUGCCCACACACCAGUCCUUGUGCGUGACUGAAAAUUGAUGUGUGGGUGAACUGCUAAACGCCCACACACCGGUCCCUCCGUGUCGUAAAAUGGAUGUGUGGGCAAACUAUGUCACGCACCACACACACGCCUUGUCCUACGUGGCACAGAAAAUCAGCCAGAUUGUGCCAAGAUUCGUGCAUAUAUUACUCGACGGGGAUGGAUGCGUGUGAUCGAGUUGAUCAACACCCACACGUGUGGGCGUUAACAUUUCCGAAAAUUAAUUAGUUACGCUAAUAGACUGAAGGAGUUUAAUGUGACGUUCAGAGAAGCAUUUAAAAUGGUAUGAAAAUGCAAUUGUCAAACAGAGGUACUAACUAUCUGUGUUAUCAUUCUUCUGAAGUCUUGAGGAAGAUGUCCAAAUUAUGUUUUCCCCUUGACCAUCAGAUGAAGCUUGGUCUCCGGCUUUGGUCAUAUGUUUGAGAGGAAGCUUCUCAUGGAAGGGUGGGGAGAGUUUCGGUUCGGAAGGUAGUGGGUGGGAGCGGAGGAAGGAAAGGGGAGAAAGAUGUGCUUUCCUCGCUGCAACGCACGGGCAAUUAACUAUAUUGCUAAUAAUUAUGAGGGCUCCUGCAGUGACACUACUAUUUUUGCAGGUGAAGCGACAACCAAGUUUCCAAGUUUAUGUCAGAAUACAAGAGAAGGGGGUUUAGUAUUUUCUUGAUGGCACAUGUUGGAAGGUCUGCAGGAGGUGCCUUUGAGGACUUGCUCGUCUACUCGAGCUUCACUGUCAGCGAAGUCUCCACUGGGUUGCCUAGAUCUGUCCUGAAUUGCUUCAUUGAUGACAAUUUGGAGAAGGCUCCGCUGACACUUACAAGGAUGUUUUCCUUUGUUAGAAAGACGAGGAUGCGCUGGAGAUAGACAUGGGGUGGUAAGAAAAUGACGAGCUCCUGAUGGUAUUAUGCUUGCUGGUCUGAACCAACAUGUAUUAUGUCAGUUUGUUGUUAAGAGUAUCUUGAAAAUAUAAAGCCACUGGAGGGCCAGGCAUUCGGUACCAUCGUCUUUCCAAUAGCCCACAUUUCUGCAUGUAUAUAUUUGUUGUACUGCCUAUGUUGGCUUUCCUGCAAUAAUAAUUAUCAAAAGGUAAUAUGCAGCA